AGCGUGCUGGGCUGCUGCCCCGGCGGGACCAGGACGCGGCGGCUGCCGCACAGCGGCGACCACAGGCCGAACUCUCGGCGCUCUCGGAGGCUGGCUGGCGAUUGGUCCAGAGAGGAGGGGGUGGUGGCAGCCCAAGUCAGCCGCUGCAGUGGCGGCGUCAGGUGAGAGCGCGAGCCGCAGAGACCGGGCGUGGCGGCUGCCGCACAGGGAGUCGGAGCCAAACUGACGGACGCGGCCCUGGGAGUCCCGGGAGGAAGGGGCGAGGAAGCACUUGCAGAGGAGACCUCGGAGCAGAAGGGCGCCGGCGCCGAGCAGCCCCGAAGUUGUCUCUGUCGAGUCGCGCCGAGCCUGGGCAUGCAAGCGACGCCACCGGGGGUCCGGUCGCCCCUCAGGAGCCCGCCGAGCGCGCGCUUGCGGCCGGACGAGGGCGGGCGAGGGUGCCGAGCCGCGAGCGAACGCAGCAAAAUGAGCGGCGAGGGCGACUACAACUUCAGACGGGUGGCGAUCCGGCGGAAGUCCAACCCCUCCUACCUGCCGCCUGGGACCCCCCGGCCGUGGAGUCGGCCCUCGUCGCACCUGCAAUGGGCCGAGACGGCCACGUUCAGGGGCCAGGCCCCCGCAGACGCCCCAGGCAGCAGUACCUGUCCAAAGAUCACUAUAGUUUCACCUUGCUUGAAAAGCAGCACAACCACACUGAUUGAUCAGAAUGUAUCUGAUGAAGAGGCUCAGGGAAUAAAUGGGAAAACUCCAGCAAAACACUCAGCUGCAAGUCCAAAGCCACAAGUGCCUCCAAAGCCACUACACCUGCAGAAUUCACCUUCGUCCAAUAUACACCAAACCCCCAGGCAUAAAGCUUUAUCUAGUGCAAAACCAAGGAUGGAGGAAGUUAAACCUGCCUCUGCUUCUUGUAUCUCGAAAGAAAAACCCAGUAAGAUAUCAGAUCUCAUCAGUCGCUUUGAAGGAGGCAGCUCGUUAUCAAAUUACAGUGGUUUGAAAAAAGAUUCUGCUGUGAACCUAAAUGCGCCUAGAACCCCAGGAAGGCAUGGAUUGACAACCACACCUCAGCAAAAACUCCUCUCCCAACAGUCACCACAGAAGCAGGGAAAAGAUACAGAUCAAUCUCAGGGUGCACAGACUUGUGUGGCUAACGGUAUGGUAGCAGCACAAAACCAGAUGGAAUGUGAGGAGGAAAAAGCGGCCAGUCUUAGCCCAGAUACUCCUAUUCAAACUUCUGAACCCUUGCCCAAUACAAACUUAGUGAAUGGAGAAAGACAGGAAACGGCCACAGACUCUGCAUCCCCCACAACAAAUGACUGUGAUGAAAAUGCUUCUGACAGUAGCUGCAGGACUUUACAUGUCGGCCCAGGGCUCCCCCUGGAAGAAGGAAGGGCAGACACAGAAGCCAAGGUACAAGAGAGGGAAGAUGGAGAAAGCCCCCUAGAACUGGAACAGCUGGACCAGCACCAUGAGAUGAAGGAGACUAAUGAGCAAAAACUUCACAAAAUAGCCAAUGAACUUUUGCUUACAGAAAGAGCUUAUGUCAGCCGACUUGACCUCUUAGAUCAGGUAUUUUACUGCAAACUACUGGAAGAAGCAAAUCGCGGCUCAUUUCCAGCAGAGAUGGUGAAUAAAAUCUUUUCUAAUAUUUCAUCAAUAAAUGCCUUCCAUAGUAAAUUCCUAUUGCCAGAGCUGGAGAAAAGAAUGCAAGAAUGGGAAACUACCCCUAGAAUUGGUGACAUCCUUCAGAAAUUGGCCCCAUUCCUUAAGAUGUAUGGAGAAUAUGUGAAGGGAUUUGAUAACGCAAUGGAAUUGGUUAAAAACAUGACAGAGCGUAUUCCCCAGUUCAAAUCAAUAAUUGAAGAAAUUCAGAAACAGAAGAUCUGUGGGAGCUUGACUUUGCAGCAUCACAUGCUAGAACCUGUUCAGCGGAUCCCCCGGUACGAGAUGCUCCUUAAGGACUACCUAAGGAAAUUGCCCCCUGGUUCUCCGGACUGGAAUGAUGCUAAAAAAUCACUUGAAAUUAUAUCUACAGCAGCAAGUCAUUCUAAUAGUGCAAUAAGAAAAAUGGAGAACCUAAAGAAACUCUUAGAGAUUUAUGAAAUGUUGGGAGAAGAAGAAGACAUUGUAAAUCCUUCAAAUGAACUAAUAAAAGAAGGACAGAUCCUCAAACUAGCUGCUCGGAACACAUCGGCACAAGAACGCUACCUUUUCUUAUUCAACAACAUGUUGCUAUACUGCGUGCCAAGAUUCAGCUUGGUGGGCUCUAAAUUCACAGUUCGAACCAGGGUUGGCAUUGAUGGAAUGAAAAUUGUAGAGACUCACAAUGAGGAAUAUCCACACACUUUCCAGAUAUCUGGGAAAGAGAGAACACUGGAACUGCAAGCCAGUUCUGAGCAAGACAAAGAAGAAUGGAUCAAGGCACUUCAAGAGACUAUUGAUGCUUUCCAUCAGAGGCAUGAAACCUUCAGAAAUGCAAUUGCCAAGGAUAAUGACAUUCACUCAGAGGUUUCUACUGCUGAGCUAGGAAAAAGAGCCCCAAGAUGGAUCCGAGAUAAUGAAGUUACAAUGUGUAUGAAAUGCAAGGAGUCUUUUAAUGCCCUGACAAGGAGAAGGCAUCAUUGUCGAGCAUGUGGACAUGUGGUUUGUUGGAAGUGUUCUGAUUAUAAAGCUCAACUUGAGUAUGAUGGUGGUAAAUUGAGCAAAGUUUGUAAAGACUGUUAUCAGAUAAUAAGUGGAUUCACAGACAGUGAAGAAAAGAAAAGAAAAGGAAUUUUAGAGAUUGAAUCUGCAGAAGUAUCUGGAAACAGUGUGGUAUGCAGUUUUCUUCAAUAUAUGGAAAAGUCAAAACCUUGGCAGAAAGCUUGGUGUGUGAUCCCCAAACAAGACCCUCUUGCACUGUACAUGUAUGGUGCCCCCCAGGAUGUCAGAGCCCAGGCCACCAUUCCACUCCUGGGCUACAUUGUGGAUGAUAUGCCGAGAAGUACAGACCUGCCACACAGUUUCAAACUGACCCAGUCCAAGUCUGUGCACAGCUUUGCUGCAGACAGUGAAGAACUGAAACAGAAGUGGCUGAAAAUCAUCCUUUUAGCUGUCACAGAAAUAUUAGUAUUAGAAGAGAAUUUCUGCUUAUCCAGUCACCAUCUUCACAUUCCCUGUGUUCUUGCCAAGCAGAAAGAGAAGCAGUGAAGCAGCCUUACCUGUUGCUUAUUAAAGAAUCACGAAUGCUUUUACUUGGAGAAAGGCAAAGGAAUACUCUUAGCCAUUUAGAAAUACUCAACCAAAAGACCUCAAAAUGUGAUUGGCUGGUUACAAGAAUAAUCUGUCUUUUGCUUUCUGAGACACCUGAGCAGUCAUGACAAAUUGAACCUAGAAAAAUAAUUGGUUGUUUUACUAUUAAAACCAACAUUCCAUUCUGGUCAUAUUCUUCAUUUUCUCUAAAUCAUCUUUUCUUUAAAGUGCUCUUUCUCCAAACUUAACAAAAUACUUCUUUGAUAAAAACUGCUAUUUUUUAUAAAACAUUCCAGUGUUUUCAACAUAAAUUUUGCUUUAUUGAAAGUCUACCAAUGAAAUGUAGUGCAGACUUAUCUCCAGGUUUUAAGUGGGACCCAGUAAUGAAAAAUGCCACCAGCCACUUUUGUAAUAAUGGCAUCUAUAAUGCCAUCAUGUAUGCAAGCAAUAAAGCUCUACAGGGUAGGUUUUACACUGAACUUUUAAUGUGAACGUUCCUAGCCACAAGGAUAUAGAGAAUUAACUCCUAGGAUUGAUACUGUGAUUCAAAUUGCUUAGUAUAGGGAAAAGAACGUAUGUGUGGCGGGGAGGUGGGGGAGGGACAACAUUAUACCUUGGAUUCAACCAUCAAAAGCCUUUUUAUUUUAUUUAAAAAAAUUUUUUUUAAAGCUUUUUUUUUUUUUUUGCAAAGGGUAUGUAUGGGUGGUUAAAAACAGUUAAAGUACAUCUGCACUACUUUAUCAAGUUACAUUUCAUUUUCCAUAAAGUUUAAUAUAGCUUG